UCUUUUUUCCCUCGCUUUCUCUCUCUUUUCUCGUCUCCCUCUUUCUCUCUGUCUUCUUCCUUAUUCAUUUUCUUCUCCUUUUUCCUUUUCAUCACUUCCUCCCCUUAUCACGGGUUCUCAAACCCUAAAAGAAAAUCAAAUAGCAUGAAUGGAAUUGAAAAUGGAUUUAUCGGGAGGUGCUUUUUGGCGAAAAUGAAUGGCGGUAGCGAUGCGUAAUUCUUG
rnacentral:lncRNA from 1 species